UGUGCGCGUGUGUGUGAGUGUGUGCAGUAAGUGUUUGUGUUGCUGUUUGCUUGUUGUUGUUGGUCUUUCUCUUCUUUUAUUUUUUAGCUGGUUAUUUAUUUAUUUAUUUUUUGUUUCGCCGCUGCAACAGAGCGAAGAGAGGGCCCCCCAAAAGCGAGAGAGAGAGCGAGAGAUAGAGCGAGAGAGAGAGAGAGAGAUAGCACUUUGGAGCCCGGCCGGCCUUUGUUGUUGUUCGUUUUGCUUAUGGGCAAUCAUCUGUUUUAUUCUGCACACAGAUGCACCCACACGUACACACGUACGUAUGUACGUACGUGCACCCACACAGGUGCAACUGCCUAGGCUGCAUCUUAAAGAUACUUUUCUCAAAUCCUUAACCUGCAGAAUGGAGAACUUGUUAUCUGUAAAUUUAUUAAGCGUGUGCAUAAUGAAGGAGAUAAUUGUGUGACUUUGCAGUGGAAGAUACCAACAUACGACUACGUAAAGUUUCAUGAAAUUGGAGAAAACGUAGAAAUGAUGAAAUUACUGGACAUGUACAUGUGUUCUGGGUGGCAGGUAUCCAACACCCCCACCCUCAACCCCUUUGUUUUUCCGCCAUUCAUCCCAGCGUUUCCCUAGUUUUCCACCGCCUUCCCCCCCAUUUUUCACCUCUUUCGGUUGAUGAACGUGGAUUAGUUCCAUGGAAAACUAUGCAAAAAUUUGAUACACACAGUUGAUACGAUGAUGAUGAUGGUGAUGAUGGUGGAACGUUGUUUAGAGCAUUACAUAUGUAUGUGGGAAUAUAUGUAUGUAUGGCUUGGAUUGGAUUCUGACUAUGACACACCUGUCAUGUGAGACCUGCCACAAUGGAGCUGAUAAAGAGCGGCAGUUUAUAUAAUCAGAGUGCCAUGGCUGAUUCCAUCAACAAUGUCAAGAUCCAGCUGGGAAUUUGAUGACCGCCCCCAUGCCAUUAUGCAAAUCCCUAACCCAUUUCAAUGUAUUGUGAUUAUGUGUGCAGUAAAAAGAGCACUUGAUACUUUCUAAUACUAGCAAAUACAUACUUGUUAUCAAGCAAA